GAUACAUAGCUCAGUGGUAGAGUACUUCACUCGUAAUGAAGGGGUCGCAGGUUCAAGUCCUGCUGUAUCC
rnacentral:tRNA from 1 species